rnacentral:rRNA from 1 species
AUGGUGCAGAGGUACCCACAGAACAAGAACAAAGGGAAGAACAAACCUGUUUUCAACAAGCCUACCAAGACUACUACCUUCAAGAAGAAGAAGUUCAACAAGGCUGAGCUAGAGUGCUACGCCUGUGGGAAGCCUGGACACUUUUCCAAGGAAUGCCCUGAACGUGCAGACCGCAGAGGGAAAACAAGCUCCAAGACUGUCAACAUGGUGACCGCUAGCAAUACUGAUGGGUAUGGUCGCAAGGGAUUCUUCCGUCCUAAUGGGGAAUGGGUCACAUGCUUCUGUUCGUGGCAUUGGCACGGUGGAUCUGAAGUUUACUUCGGGAAAGAUCGUGCAACUAAGGAACGUAUGAAGCAUUAG